GCCGAAGUGGCGGAAUUGGCAGACGCACUUGACUCAAAAUCAAGGGGCCUCAAACCGUGCCGGUUCGAGUCCGGCCUUCGGCACCA
rnacentral:tRNA from 1 species